rnacentral:rRNA from 1 species
GGCGACCGGCGCACGGGUGAGUAACGCGUAUGCAACCUACCUGUAACAGAGGGAUAGCCCAUAGAAAUGCGGAUUAAUAUCUCAUAGUUCUAUUAGAUCGCAUGAUUUGAUAGAUAAAGCUCCGGCGGUUACAGAUGGGCAUGCGUGACAUUAGCUAGUUGGUAAGGUAACGGCUUACCAAGGCUACGAUGUCUAGGGGUUCUGAGAGGAUGAUCCCCCACACUGGUACUGAGACACGGACCAGACUCCUACGGGAGGCAGCAGUGAGGAAUAUUGGUCAAUGGGCGCAAGCCUGAACCAGCCAUCCCGCGUGCAGGAUGACGGCCCUAUGGGUUGUAAACUGCUUUUAUACACCAAGAAAAACAUCCACGUGUGGGUGCCCGACGGUAGUCCCACAAAGGAAGCAUCGGCUAACUCCGUGCCAGCAGCCGCGGUAAUACGGAGGAUGCAAGCGUUAUCCGGAUUCAUUGGGUUUAAAGGGUGCGCAGGUGGGAAAAUAAGUCAGUGGUGAAAUACUGCCGCUUAACGGUAGAAUUGCCAUUGAUACUGUUUUUCUUGAGUAUGGUUGAGGUAGGUGGAAUGUGUUGUGUAGCGGUGAAAUGCAUAGAUAUGACACAGAACGCCGAUUGCGAAGGCAGCUUACUAAGCCAUUACUGACGCUGAGGCACGAAAGCGUGGGGAUCGAACAGGAUUAGAUACCCUGGUAGUCCACGCCGUAAACGAUGCUCACUCGCUGUUUGCGAUACACAGCAAGCGGCCAAGCGAAAGCAUUAAGUGAGCCACCUGGGGAGUACGAUCGCAAGGUUGAAACUCAAAGGAAUUGACGGGGGCCCGCACAAGCGGAGGAACAUGUGGUUUAAUUCGAUGAUACGCGAGGAACCUUACCUGGGCUUGAACGUAUAACGACGUCACGCGAAAGCGUGAUUCCCUUCGGGGCUGCUUACAAGGUGCUGCAUGGUUGUCGUCAGCUCGUGCCGUGAGGUGUCGGGUUAAGUCCCAUAACGAGCGCAACCCCUACAGCUAGUUGCCAGCGGGUCAUGCCGGGGACUCUAACGAAACUGCCGGUGUAAACCGUGAGGAAGGUGGGGAUGACGUCAAAUCAGCACGGCCCUUAUGUCCAGGGCUACACACGUGUUACAAUGGUCGGUACAAAGGGCAGCUACUUGGUGACAAGAUGCUAAUCUCUAAAACCGGUCUCAGUUCGGAUCGAAGUCUGCAACUCGACUUCGUGAAGCUGGAUUCGCUAGUAAUCGCGCAUCAGCAAUGGCGCGGUGAAUACGUUCCCGGGCCUUGUACACACCGCCCGUCAAACCAUGGGAGCUGGGGGUGCCUGAAGUC